UUUUUUUUUUUUUGUAAAAUUUUUUUCGGGGGGGGACCCCCCCCCCCCCUCCUCACAAAAAAGGGGGGACGUGGGGGGGUCCCCCCCCCCCCCCCGAACCCCCCCCCAAAACACUCCCUGGGGGGGUUUUUUUAAUUUUGCCCCCAACCCAGGGGCCAACCCCCCCGCCCCCCCAAAAAAGGCCCUUUUUUUUUCGAAAACACUUAAAGCGGGGAGAGGAAAACUCUUAUAUUAAUAAUUUUUUUAUUUUGCCCCCCCCCCAAAAAAAAAAAGCCCCCCUCUAACUCUGCCCCAGCAGCCGCGGUAAUACGGAGGGCGCGAGCGUUAUUGGUAUUUACUGGGCAAAAAGCGAGCGUAGGCGGCUUUUUAACUCGGAUGUGAACCCCCCAGAGCUUAACUUAGGAAUGGCAUUUAGAUACUGAGAAGCUAGAGUGUGGGAGAGGAAGGUAGAACUCCAGGUGUAGCGGUGAAAUGCGUAGAUAUCUGGAAAUAUACCGAUGGCGAAGGCAGCUAUCUGGCCUAAUACUGACGCUGAGGCUCGAAAGCGUGGGGAGCAAACAGG
rnacentral:rRNA from 1 species